CACUAGGUUAUUGGAAAACAGAUGGCUUCCCUUAGAGUGUCCGCUAGCCUGGAGUCUGACGUCGUUAUUAAGACUCAGAAACACUGUGUGUGUGUUAUUGGUCUAAGUUGCACCCAAAGAAUUAGGUUGUCAGUUGAUUUUCUUCAACAGCAGCCAAACUUUUUUUACACUGUCAAUAAUAAGGUACUCUCAGAAUUCAACUGUAACUCAAACUGUUAUCCAUUCAGGGAUGACUCCCAAAAGGUAGUUCCUUCUUCGUCUAGUGCGCUGUGGAGUGCUGCUGGUUGAGACACAUUUAUUCUUCACGUCUUUCAACGGUUGUUUUCACGAACAUGAGAUGGUACAGGUUUCCCGUUUUAAAGCGAAUAGAAGAUUGGAACCAGAGAAUCCUAUUCCAUCAGCCCAACUCUGCUUCUAAUGAUGUCAUUCUUCAUCUAUGCCAGUUGGGUCCGUAGAGAGAGUGGGCGCCAACAUAUUCGGAAGUUCAAAAACAAUGAUGUUUUGCAGUUUGGGGGCAUAUUAGGAGUGACCCCUUCCAGGAGGCCUUAUCCAAACAACAUCUAUUUCUUGGGAGGCAAAACAAUACGGAUCACAUGCUCUCCAGCACAGAAUAACACACUUGCAGGAAGCUAAGUAAGAGAAGUGUUUUGUCAGAAGAUGAUGAUGAUGUGGCUAUAGUAGUUUAAAAAAAAAGCAUUUCUGGGCGCUAUCAAUGUAAAUUGUUGCACUCUUUCAGACAACCAGAGUUCAGAGAACACUUCCAUAAUGUACCACAGUACAUUACAAGUCACAUAUGUUCAGUGAGUUCAAAAUGUUGACUCUCUUUUUCAACCAAUGUAUCGCCUGUUUACUAAACAAAACAUCUCAAUGGGUGGUCCAGGUAUGACAUGACAUGAUAUAGGAGGGGCCUUUACACUUUUGUUCUUUCAAGGAAGGGGGGAGCUGAUGACAUUAUGUUAAACUAAUAACUCCUUUAAUGGGCUUCUCCUUGCAGUUGUAUCAAAGAAAACAUUUUCAGUCUAAAACUGGUUGGUUUACUCUUGUUUUUUUUACCAUAUAAACAACAGAAAUGUAAAUAAACCUGUAUAGCCACAAAAUAUGGUACAGAAAAAUAUGAAAAUAUGUGCACUUACUACUGUACGUCAGUUUGGAUGGUCAGGCCUUGUUUUCAUAGCUCUGUCUGUCUCUAGAUCCAUAAUUCAGCUAUUUACCAAAACACAGAUUGGGUGACCACGUCGUUAUUGUUUAACAGUAGGAUCCAAGCUUUAAAGCCUGAAUCAUUAUUGGUGAAUCUGCCACAACCAAGUUACAGCAAACAACAAACACAGUUUAUUCCAUUCCUAACCACCCUUCACCAGCGAUAAAAUAGCAGCAUGUGAACCGUACAUAGUUUUCGGCACUGUGUUGUUAUUGUACUGGAUAAUUUUGUUUGUAGAGUACAUCGUUUUUUGUAAUGGAUAUAGUUCUUUGUACUGUAUGUUGUUUUUUUACUGAAUGUUGUUUUAUGUACUGUAUGUCGUUUUGUGUACUGUAUGUUAUUCUUUAUGCACUGCACAUAGUUUUUUGUACUGUACAUA